GCUAAUGAUAAACAAUUGAAGACCUCUAAAAUUAACUAGAUAUUAGGCUAUUUCAGACCCAUACUAAAUCAUCAAUUUGAGCAUAGUAUAAGAAACUUAUUUAUUGGUGUUUAUUUUUCUUUUUUACAGAAUACCCAGGAAAAGAGAACCUUGAAUUUUGUCACUACAUAGCAUAUGAACACAGGCCUUUCACAAUAACUUUCUGAGAUCAACAAUUUGUAAUAUAAAUUGCGUUAAACAUCAAGAUCUCUUAUUUUUGGAGCUGGGGUUGUGGUUCAGUGGUAGAACACUUGCCUUGCAUGUGUCAGGCACUGGGUUUGAUUCUUAGCACCACAUACAAAUAAAUAAGUAAAAUAAAGGUCCAUAAAAAAUCCCUUAUUUUUUCAAGUCCUAUUACCAUCUGUAAAGUCUGGCAGCACAGUAAUUAUUAGAGUGGAAUGUUUUGCAGAACCUUAGUUGGUUUGACUGCCCUGAUUUAGAAUAAGGACUGUUUCUUGUGCCUGAUCCAUAGAUUCCUGAUCUAUAUGGGUAUCAUGAGGAGGCAAACUCAUUUUUUAGCAAGUUUUAUUUUUAAGUUCAUUAUUGUUAUAUUUGCAAGUGGGUAUCAACAUUUUUAGAAAUAUGAACUAACUUGUGUAAAUGAGUAAUUGGAAACACAUCUGCUUUUUCUUUUGUGGAAUAGAUUGUUCUUUAGCCAAUCAGGCUAUUUAUCUAAAUAAGACAGGAAAAUCAAUAACACAUUUUCCUUUUCCAAAAGAAGAGUUAUUUUUCAUAAAGUUUGUUUGAUGAUAACUUUUAAUUUUUAGUAUCUCCCAGCAAAACAUUAACACUUGACUUGCAUUAGCUUUA
rnacentral:lncRNA from 1 species